rnacentral:rRNA from 1 species
UACGUAGGGGGGCGAGCGUUGUCCGGAUUUAUUGGGCGUAAAGAGCUCGUAGGCGGUCUGUCGCGUCGGAUGUGAAAACCCAGGGCUCAACCCUGGGCCUGCAUUCGAUACGGGCAGACUAGAGUUCGGUAGGGGAGACUGGAAUUCCUGGUGUAGCGGUGAAAUGCGCAGAUAUCAGGAGGAACACCGGUGGCGAAGGCGGGUCUCUGGGCCGAAACUGACGCUGAGGAGCGAAAGCGUGGGGAGCAAACAGG